rnacentral:snoRNA from 15 species
GGAUUUAUGAUGAGAUAUGUUUACUGAGCCUGAUGAAAAGAAAGCUCACUGUGAUUACUCUGAAGUCC